rnacentral:lncRNA from 1 species
GCAGAUAAUUUCUUUAUUGAAACUAUCAGGAAGUUUUACUAUGAAAUUUUACAUACAUGAUGGAAAGUGGAAGACAUAUACCAAUUAUAUUCCAGGAAAAAAUACUUUAAUAGUAUUGUUAUAUAGUGUAUUGGCUAAUUCCAGUGGAUCCUCAUCUCUCACUGCUGACAUUAUCUCCAAUAUUUGACUAAAACAAAACAAAAACAAAAAUGGUUAAAUCUCCAAGUAUACAUUUAGUUCUAAAGCUAUAUAAUAUUUUUCCACACAAAGGAAAAUAUUGGCACACCUUUAAUAUAAUAAAGCUUAACAGUUAUUAAGUUUUUCAGCAAUAUCAAUAGAAAAACUUACUGCCAGUAACUGGAAACAGAUUUAUGGACUGUCUUGCAUAUAACUAGAGCUAAGAACCAGGUUCAAGUAAAUUAUUAAAGCAGCCAUCUGUAUUAUGUUCACCAAUUAUAGCAUUAACUGAGUGGAAAUGAAGAGUCCUUUUCAAUUGUGAGUCAUAGCAUGUUCAUUAGUGGGUCAUGAUGAGCAUUUUAAACAUUGACAAGUACAUUGUACUCAAUAAGGGUAAGUACUGUUCCAUUUUUUGUUAGGUUUUAUUAUGUAUGUGUGUCCUAAGUCACAACGUAAUUUGUACUGUGGGACAGCAGCCACAGUUGGAAAUCUACUGCUAGAGAACUAGUCCUUGAGAGACAGCAAAUGAAGGUAUUAGGUUGCUGCAAAAGUAAUAUUUACUUGGAAAAAUGUGUGGUUAUUGAGGGCGAGGGCUUUCUGUACCUCUACCCUUGCGAGAGAAAUAAGCCCAGGUGUCCAUCCUUCAGUUUCUUUCUUUCUCUGUCUCUCUCUUCCUUCCCUUCCCUCCCUUCCUUUCCUUUCUUUUUCUUUCCUUUCUUUUUUUUUUCUUUUUUCUUUCUUUUUUGAGACGGCGUCUUACUCUGUUGCUCAGGCUGGAGUGCAGUGGCACGAUCUCGGCUCACUGCAACCUCUGCCGCCUGGGUUCAAGUGAUUCUCCUGCCUCAGCCUCCUGAGUAGCUGGGAUUACAGGCACCUGCCAUCACACCCAGCUAAUUUUUGUAUUUUUAGUAGAGACGGGGUUUCACUAUGUUGGCUGGCCGUGGUCUUGAACUCCUGACCUUGUGAUCCACCCCACCUGGGCCUCCCAAAGUGCUGGGAUUACAGGUGUGAGCCACCGCGCCUGGCCGCAUCUUUCAGUUUCUGUGCUUACAGUAAUGAUGAUCCGUAGUGUCUCCAUACUUAUUAUAUAUAAGUGGAAGAUUUUUAAUACAUGAAUUAGAAAGUUCCAAAGUCCAAAUUGAACAUUUAAAUAUUCUUUGCCUAAGCUUUUUGUUCCCUUAGUAUCUUAAAUGUUAACACCUAAAGGAAUUAAGGAUGGAGAUCUAAGAUUAAUGGGAAUUUAAAAAAUUGUUUUGUAAUGUGACACAAAAGCCUUGCUUGAUGUUUAUACUAAGCAAACACUACACUAAAAUUUUAUCUGACAGUCAAGAUACACUAAAAGCAAAUCUAUUAACAUUUAAAUUAAGACAGUGAAAAUCCAUUUUUCUUAGGAAACUACUGAAUGUCCCUCUGUAUGCACUUCUCAGAAUUGGAACUCUUGAUUAAUGCUGCUGAUGACACAGUUUUGAAGGUCACAGCAGCUUUGCUAAGAUUAUAUUGCAUAGCAAAUUCAUUUUAUUGAAAUCGCUUAUAAGAAAUCUAUUGGGCUGGGCCCAGUGGCUCAUGCCUGUAAUCACAGCACUUUGGGAGGCUGAGGUGUGAGCCACUGUGCCCAGCCAGGCAAAGGUUUUUAAAGUCUUGCAAGAUCUACAUGAUUCCUACCCUAUCUCCUUUCCAGCCCUUCCCCAUACUGAUACAAGUUAUAGCUUUAAAAAAAAUAAUUGCCACUCUCCUGCUUAAAAUCCUUUGGGUAGUGAUAAAAUCUAAGCAAAAUGCUGGCAUAUAAGAGCCCUCACAAUCUGGGCUCACUCUACCUUCCCAGACUUGACUUCUGCUUACACUGUGCAUCCUACUUUCUGCCACACUUGUUCCUCUGGAUUAGCCAGGCCCUUCUGCAGUCUGCCUUUGCUUAAGGUGUUUGUUUGUCUUUCUCUGGCCUAACUCCCAGUCAUGGGUAAACAACUGAAAUGUCACCUUGGUAUAACUCUCUCCUGUUUCCCCUCAAAGCAGACAGUUGAUGUGCCCUAUGGUCCUGGUCAUAGAUUCCUACUUGUAUAACAGCACUACUAUCUUGGACUCUGUCUGCUUAUGUGCUCCAGGAGGGCAGGGGUCCUCGCCUGACUCACUGAAUGCCUUAUCUAAAGUGCCAGGCACAGUGUACCUAUUCAUCUGGUGGAUGGAUAAAGACAGGGACUGUCUUGGUUCUUCCUGUGUAGCCUUAGUAACUUGUACCUUUCCUGACAUGGCAGGGGCUCCAAAACAUCUGUUGCAAACAAUGUAUAUCUAAAAGACCUCUAUAAAAAUAAUUAGAAUGUAAAACUGUUAACAGAAUGGAGGUUGAGAAAAUGACUUUGCAAGUAGCAAUUAACUUGCCAACUCAUAAUUAGCAGUAGAUUAGAGGAUUGUGUAUUUUUUAAAUGUGGUUUAAAUCUUUUCAGCUUGCAGAUGCUAGAUUUUCCUAAGCUCUGCAACUAACUGAAGAACAAGUAUUGAUGAAGCCUUCACAGUUCUUUUUUUUUUUUUUUUGAGAUGUAUUUUCACUUUUGUCUUCCAGGCUAGAGUGCAAUGGUGUGGUCUCUGCUCACUGCAACCUCCGCCUCCCAGGUUCAAGCGAUUCUCCUGCCUCAGCCUCCUGAGUAGCUGGCAUUACGGGCAUCCGCCAUGACGCCUGGCUAAUUUUUGUAUUUUUAGUAGAGACAGGAUUUCACCAUGUUGGCCAGGCUGGUCUCGAGCACCUGACCUCAGGUGAUCCGCCUGCCUUGGCCUCCCAAAGUGCUGGGAUUACAGAUGUGAGCCACCAUGCCUGGCCAGCCUUUAUAGUUCUUAAACAGUCUACAUUUAAAAACACCUUGAAAUUUUGUCUUGCAAAUAUAUAGCUAAAGUCAACAGCUAUAAUCUUACAUAAGAUUAAGGAAAUAUAAAAAACUUACUUGGAUACACUGUUGGCAACUACUUCCUGUAAGCUGGCUGCUGUCAAAAUACCAGUUUCUUUUCUCUAGUGUCCUUUUAGUUCCCCAAAAAAUUGGCUGGGUGUGGUAGCUCACGCCUGUAAUCCUAGCACUUUGGGAGGCUGAGGUCAGGAGUUUGAGACCAGCCUGGCCAACAUGGCAAAACCCCAUCUCUACUAAAAAUACAAAAAUUAACUGAGUGUGGUGGCAUGUGCCUAUAGUUCCAGCUACUUGGGAGGCUGAGGCAGGAGAAUUGCUUGAACCCAGGAGGCGGAGAUUGCAGUGAGCCAAGAUCACUCCACUGCACUCCAGCCUGGGCAACAGAGCAAGAUGGUCUCAAAAAAAAAAAAAAAAAAAAAGAUUUAGAAAUACUGUCUCAUCACUGAAUUUGCAAGUACUUACAUUUCUUUAUUUUUUAAAAUUUUCUUUAUUUCUUUAGAGACAGGGGUCUCCCUAUGUUGCCUGAGCUGAUCUUGAACUCCUGAGCUCAAGCAGUCUUCCCAAGUAGCUGGAAUACAGGCGCAGGCCACCAUGCCUGGCUGCUUCAGUUUUAAAGACUUUGUCAGCUCAAGCAUGUUAAUAAAGGAAAAGAACCUUUCAAACAUAUUUUUAUAGAAUAAUUCUUCACUGUUCUUAUCUGGCUUAUCUUCUAAUACUCUUUUCCUGUUAAAAACUACUGAAAAAAAAGAUGGUGCAUAUGCAAUGAAUAGUCUUAAAAGCAACAACCUAUUUUGUUUUCUUUUUUACCCCUCAUGAAGACACAGUACCAAUUAGUUUUUGUGAAUGUGUUAUAAGUAUGCCCAAUUGUCUGAAUUGGUAAAUCAUAUAAGACUGAUAUAAUCUAGAUUAAUUUAAAUUAUCUGUUUGUGCAAACAAAAGAAAUUGGAUUAUGUACCCAUUAAAAUGAUAUAACCAC